AACCUAGCAACGUAGGAAGUGACACGCUAACAGCCAAUCGUGUAACAGUAUCAUGUUUGGUUGCGCCAUAUCGUCGUCUCGUGCCGGUCUGCUGGAGCGAGCGAGCUCAGCUCUCGGUAGAAGAGUGAAAGUGCUCCGACACUUUAUUAACAACAGAGGCCUUACAAAAAAAAAAAGCACAGAGCUCUGGAGUAGCUCACGUACGAGAGCGAGAGAAGAAAAGGAGAAAUAGCACACAGGAAUACCUCAGGAAAACAGAAGAGGAGUUGAGGAGUGCGCUGGUUAGGUGAGGAGGAGAGGAGGUGAGGUCCUGUCACUUGGCUUCGUUCCUCUCUCUCACUCUCUCUCUCUUGCAGUCCAAAGGUUGCACAAAAUAACAACAUGGCAGAAGCACUAACCGGCUCUCAUAAGGUCUGAGCACCCUGGGACAGAAAGGUCAGGCUAUAACCACAUCCUCGGUGAAGUGGAGGGCAGCGCUGUUUUUAGCAUUGUGCAGCAUGAUGACAUUCGAUACUGGCUCUCUGAUUGCAUUGUUGCUGUAACACAGGAACAUGACAGACCAUUAAGAGCAAUCAGAGGCUUUUUCUAUCCCAUUUAACAUCAAAAUCAGUCAUGGACAAAGACGUCUUCAACCGGGACUUCAAACUAGUGUCAAGUGAUUUUGUUGUCAUUUUUAUUGGAUCCGUUUUGUUUCUGCAUUAAAACACAUACACACCACACACACACACAUACACACCACACACAUACACACACACCACACACACACACACACACACACACACACACAUAUAUACUCACACCACACACAC